GACGAACGCUGGCGGCGUGCCUAAUACAUGCAAGUCGAACGCAGUGGGGACGGGUGAGUAACACGUGGGUAACCUCCCAUCAGAGGGGAUAACACUUGGAAACAGGUGCUAAACCGAUACUGAUGGAUGAACCCGCGGUGCAUUAGCUAGUUGGUGAGGUAACGGCUCACCAAGGCCACGAUGCAUAGCCAACCUGAGAGGGUGAUCCGCCAUCCUGGGACUCAGCCACGGCCCAGACUCACACGGGAGGCAGCAGGAGGGAAUUGUCGUCAAUGGACGAAAGUUGGACCGAACAAAGCCGCGAGAGUGAAGAAGGUUUUCGGAUCGUAAAACUCUGUUGUUAGAGAAGCGGUAUCUAAACAGAAAGCCACGGCUAACUACGUGCCAGCAGCCGCGGUAAUUC
rnacentral:rRNA from 1 species